CCUACGGGAGGCAGCAGUGGGGAAUAUUGCACAAUGGGGGAAACCCUGAUGCAGCGACGUCGCGUGAGUGAAGAAGUAUUUCGGUAUGUAAAGCCCUAUCAGCAGGGAAGAAAAUGACGGUACCUGAUUAAGAAGCACCGGCUAACUACGUGCCAGCAGCCGCGGUAAUACGUAGGGGGCAAGCGUUAUCCGGAUUUACUGGGGGUAAAGGGAGCGUAGACGGCAGCACAAGUCUGGAGUGAAAUGCCGGGGCUUAACCCCGGAACUGCUUUGGAAACUGUGCAGCUUGAGUGCAGGAGGGGUAAGUGGAAUUCCUGGGGUAGCGGUGAAAUGCGUAGAUAUUAGGAGGAACACCAGUGGCGAAGGCGGCUUACUGGACUGUAACUGACGUUGAGGCUCGAAAGCGUGGGGAGCAAACAGGAUUAGAUACCCCGGUAGUC
rnacentral:rRNA from 1 species